rnacentral:rRNA from 1 species
GACGAACGCUGGCGGCGUGCUUAACACAUGCAAGUCGAACGGUAAGGCUCCAGCUUGCUGGGGUACACGAGUGGCGAACGGGUGAGUAACACGUGGGUGACCUGCCCUGCACUUCGGGAUAAGCCUGGGAAACUGGGUCUAAUACCGGAUAGGACCGCACCGUGAGGGUGUGGUGGAAAGUUUUUUCGGUGUGGGAUGGACCCGCGGCCUAUCAGCUUGUUGGUGGGGUAAUGGCCUACCAAGGCGGCGACGGGUAGCCGGCCUGAGAGGGUGGACGGCCACAUUGGGACUGAGACACGGCCCAGACUCCUACGGGAGGCAGCAGUGGGGAAUAUUGCACAAUGGGCGGAAGCCUGAUGCAGCGACGCCGCGUGGGGGAUGACGGCCUUCGGGUUGUAAACUCCUUUCACCAUCGACGAAGGGUUUCUGACGGUAGAUGGAGAAGAAGCACCGGCUAACUACGUGCCAGCAGCCGCGGUAAUACGUAGGGUGCGAGCGUUGUCCGGAAUUACUGGGCGUAAAGAGCUCGUAGGUGGUUUGUCGCGUCGUCUGUGAAAUUCCGGGGCUUAACUCCGGGCGUGCAGGCGAUACGGGCAUAACUUGAGUACUGUAGGGGAGACUGGAAUUCCUGGUGUAGCGGUGAAAUGCGCAGAUAUCAGGAGGAACACCGGUGGCGAAGGCGGGUCUCUGGGCAGUAACUGACGCUGAGGAGCGAAAGCAUGGGGAGCGAACAGGAUUAGAUACCCUGGUAGUCCAUGCCGUAAACGGUGGGCGCUAGGUGUGGGUUUCCUUCCACGGGAUCCGUGCCGUAGCUAACGCAUUAAGCGCCCCGCCUGGGGAGUACGGCCGCAAGGCUAAAACUCAAAGGAAUUGACGGGGGGCCGCACAAGCGGCGGAGCAUGUGGAUUAAUUCGAUGCAACGCGAAGAACCUUACCUGGGCUUGACAUAUACAGGAUCGCGCCAGAGAUGGUGUUUCCCUUGUGGCUUGUAUACAGGUGGUGCAUGGUUGUCGUCAGCUCGUGUCGUGAGAUGUUGGGUUAAGUCCCGCAACGAGCGCAACCCUUGUCUUAUGUUGCCAGCACGUUGUGGUGGGGACUCGUAAGAAACUGCCGGGGUUAACUCGGAGGAAGGUGGGGAUGACGUCAAAUCAUCAUGCCCCUUAUGUCCAGGGCUUCACACAUGCUACAAUGGUCGGUACAGUGGGUUGCCAGUCCGUGAGGGCGAGCUAAUCCCGCAAAGCCGGUCUCAGUUCGGAUCGGGGUCUGCAACUCGACCCCGUGAAGUCGGAGUCGCUAGUAAUCGCAGAUCAGCAACGCUGCGGUGAAUACGUUCCCGGGCCU